CACUUCCAUUCUAGUGAGUAGCUGCAUUUCCACAGCGAGUGCCUCAGUGCGUCCCAGAGGCACCACGGCGCUCCGCUGUGGUGGAGGUACUCUCCAGUUCUAUUUUUCAGCAACUUCGCCUCCACGAUGUUCACCACACCGAAAACACACACGACACAUGGUAAAUGCUACGAUACGACAAUCCUGUGUAUGGACAGUUCACAUCCUAUUACGCACGUUGUAAAAGCGAGGUUCCGAGGAAAGAUAGACAAGGAGAAAUUGAUGGUUAAAGUGGAAUUAUUUUUUACAAACACCGUGGAGCCUUUCUACAAGGAUACAAACCAAAAUGAGUUUUGGGUGUGAAUGUCAGGUUCAACCAUCCAGCUAAUUGUCAGCUCAGGUUUCUGAGGUGUUUAAAUUGAGUAGUAAUAAUGAUCGAGCAUGUCGCACUCGAUUAAUGGCGACGUGUGGCAGAGGCUUUAUGUGGAAUUUAAGGGGAAAGCAAGCAUCUAAUCUACACCGGUUUCGUAGCAGCAGGUUCUUGCGUUACAUGUUGGGUUAUGGGAUCAGAUAGACUGCCUGGUUGCUGUUGUGGCUUCAGACCCUGGAAGAUGGCACCUCUUGCCACCCCUACUUUUGCUUCCCCAGUUGAAAGGAGAAGGCCUCUGCCUUGGUCUGACUGUGCCACCAGUCCUUGUGCACGUCCACACACGGGUUGAGUAGGUGGGAGUGUCUCUCCCCGUCCUUGGGAAGUAUCAUGGGAACUGGGGAAACUUCUGGUCUGUCCUAUACCCAGCGCUCCUGCGGAGAGGGCCAGCCCUCUACCAUGUCCUGCAAAAACCUGCAGAGGCUGCAUUGCUCUUCCUCGUCCCAAGGGCGGAACGCCCGUCAUCCUCUCGAGGUCAGGCGGCGUGUUCGAGUCCAUUGGUCAGCUGUGAAAUUAAAUUGCAGAAGUUUACAUAACGAGUACGUCUACACAGAAACAAAGAUGAGAAAUGGAAUGUGACGUUUCCUUCCUCCAGUUCAUCAGUCGGUCUCUUCACAGAGUUCUCUUUUCAUAUUUGGAGCUGUUGAGGUGCUCAUUUGUGAAAUGUGUUUACUCUGUUUAGUCUUUAAAUAACUGAAUGAAAAGCAAGUAAUAAAAAGAUCAACCUUCUCUGUGCU
rnacentral:lncRNA from 1 species